GAAUGCAUGUUAAGUUAAGCCGUGCACAUCUGGGUGUACUUCUGUGUUCCAGACUCACGUCCCCAGACUUUUUUUUGGGGAUCCGAGUUUUGACGUCGUUCCGUUUGGUCAAACGUAGAAAAGAUCGGCGCAAAUUCUGGAAGUGGGUCGGCGGUUUCCUCCGAUGAAAGAGCCAGCCUUAACGUCGUCGAUGUUAACCAGGGGGGCGGAAUCACGUUCGGGUUACGUUCUCGCCCUCUGCGGUAUAAACACGCAGACCAUUGGUUGUUAUUGUUUACCAACGUUUGCUUCAUGAAUGGAAACCCCGGAGGCUCGGUUUGUUAAAACAUCUACACCGGGACGGGAUACAUUUGUUCAGUAUUUGUGAUUCUUUGACACUGUGUUGAAGCGAAGGAGGAGCUAACGACCUGGUGACCGGGGAGUCAUCCAGGAGGAAUUGAGUGUACUACCUCUGAAAACUACUUCAACUAGCACGCAAUUAACCAUGAAAGGUUUCCUUUACUUCCGAUAUAUUUAACACUUACUCCAAAUCAUACCAAUUUCGGAUUUGGGGAGCAACACAUCGCAUCGCUUGGAAAAUAUUCUGAGUCACUUUGAAAAAUAAUUCUUGUCUGUUUAGUGAAAUAGGAACAUGUCUAUUGAUAAAAUAUUGAUAUGAUUAUGAUGAAACCCAUCCCUAAAAGUGGAAACUAUUCAAAGUAAUACUCAAAGCAGAAAAAAAUUGUAUGGAUUAAAAAAGUGUUUGACAUUUUAACUAAGGAAAAGAGCGACCUACAAAACUCUGAAAACCGUGAAUACUUCGGUUAAACUUUGUUCUUUGGCCAAAUGUACGGUAUAUCCUAAAGUAUGUGAAAUAUGUGAACACGUGGGAAAAAAUACUAUUUGUACAGAAGAUACAGAGGUUUAACUUUCUUGUUACGUUGUUGUAUGACAUAUGUAUCAGACUUUAUAUGUGAUUGUGUGAAGGAACUUUUUCUAUUGUUUCUCCUGUUUUUUGUAUUAAUUUAAUCGUGACCUGACCAAAACUCCCUGUCUGUCUGUCGUGUCGAACCGAUCAUGAUGAUGUGCAAUGUGAGAGGGACACUAUAUAUAUAGGGAUUAAAGACUAUAUCACAAA
ensembl:lncRNA